rnacentral:rRNA from 1 species
CCUACGGGAGGCAGCAGUGGGGAAUAUUGGACAAUGGGCGAAAGCCUGAUCCAGCCAUGCCGCGUGUGUGAAGAAGGCCUUCGGGUUGUAAAGCACUUUCAGUGGGGAGGAAGGGGUUGUAGUUAAUAGCUGCAAUUUUUGACGUUACCCACAGAAGAAGCACCGGCUAACUCCGUGCCAGCAGCCGCGGUA